AUUGAACGCUGGCGGCAGGCCUAACACAUGCAAGUCGAGCGGAUGAAGGGAGCUUGCUCCUGGAUUCAGCGGCGGACGGGUGAGUAAUGCCUAGGAAUCUGCCUGGUAGUGGGGGAUAACGUCCGGAAACGGGCGCUAAUACCGCAUACGUCCUGAGGGAGAAAGUGGGGGAUCUUCGGACCUCACGCUAUCAGAUGAGCCUAGGUCGGAUUAGCUAGUUGGUGGGGUAAAGGCCUACCAAGGCGACGAUCCGUAACUGGUCUGAGAGGAUGAUCAGUCAACUUGAAAUUGAGACCCGGCCCAGCUUCCUACGGGGGGAAGGAGUGGGGAAUUUUGGAAAUUGGGCGAAACCCUAUACAAGCCGCGCCGCGGGGGUAAAAAAGUCUUUAGGAGUAUAAAUCCCUUUAAAUGGGGGGGAAGGAGGAUAAGUUAAAACCUUUGUUUUUGGCCGUUACCAAGAAAAAAAGCACAGGCAAAGUUAUU
rnacentral:rRNA from 1 species